rnacentral:lncRNA from 1 species
GGUUCCACACGAACUCCUCCUACCCUCAUUGUGUGACAGCAGCCAUGCCUCCUCCUGGGGAUCAGGAUCUAUUACCUGUGCCUGGAGAGGAGGGGACUCCUCUUCUCACCCGCUGGUCUCUGGACACAUACUGUCCAAUUCCCCUGKGGCAGCUGUAAUGUGUAGUUCAAUGGGCACUCAUUUGUCYCCUUUUAAGGGUACCCUCCUUUAGAAUCCAGGACCUUCUACCCUGCAGAGUGUGGUUUUGGGAGAGAAGUGCAAAAUCCCACGACAGGUGAGUUGAAGGAAUGGGAUAUGGAGCCACAUCCACUUCCACCCCUUGGUAUCUGGACCCACGUGUUCUUCCUACUGAGAUUACAGAACUGUAGAGAUGUCUUUGAUUUUUAAAAUGCACCAUGUCCUGAAAGAUGGCACCCUCCCACCCGCAGAGUGCUUCCUGCAAGCUGGCGUUGAG